GAAAGCUAUAGUUCCCAACAACCUUGCUUUUAAAUAGGAUUGUGUGACUGGUUCUGGCCAAUGAAAUAUAGAGAGAGAUUAUGUGUAUCACUCCUGUGUUAAGUCCAAGAAACACUCCUAUGUAACUCUUCACUUCCUUCUUUCCCAACUUACAGGGUAGCCACAUGUUGAGGUGACAGAACUACAAAAUGAAAACAAUUCAUAUUGCUGAGCCUGCUGUAAAGAGGAAGCUGCCAUGAAGAGGUGGGAACAAAUUAUUAGUGAACUGUGACUGAACUUCAUUUCUAAAUAUCGCAUAAUUAAAUAUGGAGCUAUUUAAAGGUGAAGCUUGGCACGGUUUAUCUGUGAGCAGAGGAACAGAACAGGCUUGUUUGCACUGCAUCAUCAGUCGACCUCAACUGUGAAUUUCUAGUCAGCAAAUGGGCGCUUCAUUUGGUGCAUCUGAGCAGAGGAAGACAAGAGCUGCUCUAAAAAGGAUCACGUUGCCAUCUGAUCUACAGCUCCAUUGAUGACAAAUCACCAACAAAUUUCCUACCUUCUGUGGAAGUCCACCUUAAGGUCGGCUACAAGUCUGGUGUGCCGGAUCGUUUGCAAACCCCACUUCGGCAACCGAGAAAGGGCGGGGCUGCGUCCUGAGACAUCUGUGGACCAGAGGAG